rnacentral:lncRNA from 1 species
UAGGAGAAAAAGCUUACUGUCUAGGCUUAUUUGUUGGGCCUAGUUUAUAAAAGAGAGGUGUAUCAUUGUAAACAUAUGGGUGCAAGUGUAAAGACUACCUGUUUGGCCCAUUUGAAUAUUAUUUUCCAAAUAAAAUCUUAUUUUGGGCCUUAAAUUGCAAUUUGUACAUUUCUCCAAGCUUUCAAACAAUUAAACUCUAAU